UAUCGAUACCGUAAAAGUUAACUCAAAUUUGUAUGGAGUGGUAACUUUUGCGUACUUUUGCCCCUAGGGGCGCUGUUCCAACUGCAUACAAAUUUGAGUUAACUUUUACGCUAUCGA
rnacentral:pre_miRNA from 9 species